rnacentral:rRNA from 1 species
UACGUAGGGUCCGAGCGUUGUUCGGAAUUACUGGGCGUAAAGAGCUCGUAGGCGGUUUGUCGCGUCGUUCGUGAAAACUCACAGCUCAACUGUGGGCGUGCGGGCGAUACGGGCAGACUUGAGUACUGCAGGGGAGACUGGAAUUCCUGGUGUAGCGGUGGAAUGCGCAGAUAUCAGGAGGAACACCGGUGGCGAAGGCGGGUCUCUGGGCAGUAACUGACGCUGAGGAGCGGAAGCGUGGGGAGCGAACAGG